GCGUGAAGGAUGAANGNNNUAUGGGUCGUAAANUNNUUUUANAUGGGAAUAAAGUUUUCCACGUGUGGAAUUUGUAUGUACCAUAUGAAUAAGGAUCGGCUAACUCCGUGCCAGCAGCCGCGGUAAUACGGAGGAUCCGAGCGUUAUCCGGAUUUAUUGGGUUUAAAGGGAGCGUAGGUGGAUUGUUAAGUCAGUUGUGAAAGUUUGCGGCUCAACCGUAAAAUUGCAGUUGAAACUGGCAGUCUUGAGUACAGUAGAGGUGGGCGGAAUUCGUGGUGUAGCGGUGAAAUGCUUAGAUAUCACGAAGAACUCCGAUUGCGAAGGCAGCUCACUAGACUGUUACUGACACUGAUGCUCGAAAGUGUGGGUAUCAAACAGGAUUAGAUACCCUGGUAGUCCACACAGUAAACGAUGAAUACUCGCUGUUUGCGAUAUACAGUAAGCGGCCAAGCGAAAGCAUUAAGUAUUCCACCUGGGGAGUACGCCGGCAACGGUGAAACUCAAAGGAAUUGACGGGGGCCCGCACAAGCGGAGGAACAUGUGGUUUAAUUCGAUGAUACGCGAGGAACCUUACCCGGGCUUAAAUUGCAACAGAAUAUAUUGGAAACAGUAUAGCCGCAAGGCAGUUGUGAAGGUGCUGCAUGGUUGUCGUCAGCUCGUGCCGUGAGGUGUCGGCUUAAGUGCCAUAACGAGCGCAACCCUUAUCUUUAGUUACUAACAGGUUAUGCUGAGGACUCUAGAGAGACUGCCGUCGUAAGAUGUGAGGAAGGUGGGGAUGACGUCAAAUCAGCACGGCCCUUACGUCCGGGGCUACACACGUGUUACAAUGGGGGGUACAGAAGGCAGCUACCCGGCGACAGGAUGCUAAUCCCAAAAACCUCUCUCAGUUCGGAUCGAAGUCUGCAACCCGACUUCGUGAAGCUGGAUUCGCUAGUAAUCGCGCAUCAGCCAUGGCGCGGUGAAUACGUUCCCGGGCCUUGUACACACCGCCCGUCAAGCCAUGAAAGCCGGGGGUACCUGAAGUACGUAACCGCAAGGAG
rnacentral:rRNA from 3 species